rnacentral:rRNA from 1 species
AGGCCUACCAUGGUGGUAACGGGUAACGGGGUGUUAGGGCACGACACCGGAGAGGGAGCCUGAGAAACGGCUACCACAUCCAAGGAAGGCAGCAGGCGCGCAAAUUACCCAAUCCCGACACGGGGAGGUAGUGACAAUAAAUAACAAUACAGGGUUCUUUGAAUCUUGUAAUUGGAAUGAGUACAAUUUAAAUCUCUUAACGAGGAACAAUUGGAGGGCAAGUCUGGUGCCAGCAGCCGCGGUAAUUCCAGCUCCAAUAGCGUAUAUUAAAGUUGUUGCAGUUAAAAAGCUCGUAGUUGAAUUUCGGGAUCAAUUCGUCGGUCGUGCUCUUUGGUACGUACUGGGGUUAUUGGUUUCUCCCUUCUGACGAACCAUGAUGUCAUUAAUUUGGUGUUAUGGGGAGUUAGGACUGUUACUUUGAAAAAAUUAGAGUGUUUAAAGCAGGCAUUAGCUUGAAUACAUUAGCAUGGAAUAAUGAAAUAGGACGUUCGAUCCUAUUUUGUUGGUUUCUAGGAUCAACGUAAUGAUUAAUAGGGAUAGUUGGGGGCAUUAGUAUUCAAUUGUCAGAGGUGAAAUUCUUGGAUUUAUUGAAGACUAACUACUGCGAAAGCAUUUGCCAAGGAUGUUUUCAUUAAUCAAGAACGAAAGUUAGGGGAUCGAAGACGAUCAGAUACCGUCGUAGUCUUAACCAUAAACUAUGCCGACUAGGGAUCGGAUGAUGUUAAUUUUUUAAUGACUCAUUCGGCGCCU